rnacentral:rRNA from 1 species
AGAGAGAGACAUGCGCGCAUAUCAAUAAGCGGAGGAAAAGAAACUAACUAGGAUUCCCUUAGUAACGGCGAGUGAAGCGGGAAGAGCUCAAAUUUGAAAUCUUCAAGGUUUACCUUGACGAAUUGUAGUUUAAAGAAGUGUUUUCUGCUGGAGUUUUGGUAAAAGUUCUUUGGAAUAGGACAUCAUAGAGGGUGAGAAUCCCGUAUUUGACCAUUAUUUCAGCUUUGUGAUACACUUUCAAAGAGUCGGAUUGUUUGGGAAUGCAGUCCAAAAUGGGUGGUAAAUUUCAUCUAAAGCUAAAUAUUGGCGAGAGACCGAUAGCGAACAAGUACCGUGAGGGAAAGAUGAAAAGAACUUUGAAAAGAGAGUUAAACAGUACGUGAAAUUGUCAAAAGGGAAGCGUUUGACACCAUGUGUUGUUUUCUCGAAAAUCAAUUAAAAAUGGCUCGAUUUUGUAUUGUUGAGACCUUAAAAGCUCACUGUACAUUUUUCGUGUCUUUUUUAAUGCACUUUUCGUUUAACAAGUCAACAUCAGUUUCUUUUGUUGUAAAAGGGUCAUUGGAAGGUGGCUUUCUUUUCGGAGAAAGUGUUUAUAGCCUUUGGCCUCUGCAAUCGGAGAGACUGAGGUCUGCAGCGUAGACUCUUCGGGGUUAGAUACAUUUGUGCUAAGUUAUAGCCUUUUAUAGACAACUUGUUGACUAUGAUUAGUCAUUGUAGCUUACUCGCUUAUGCUAUUUUACCUACGCUUAGGAUGUUGAGUCGUAGAGCACGCAG